rnacentral:rRNA from 1 species
AACGAACGCUGGCGGCAGGCUUAACACAUGCAAGUCGAGCGCCCCGCAAGGGGAGCGGCAGACGGGUGAGUAACGCGUGGGAAUCUACCCAUCUCUACGGAAUAACGCAUGGAAACGUGUGCUAAUACCGUAUACGUCCUUCGGGAGAAAGAUUUGUCGGAGAUGGAUGAGCCCGCGUUGGAUUAGCUAGUUGGUGGGGUAAAGGCCUACCAAGGCGACGAUCCAUAGCUGGUCUGAGAGGAUGAUCAGCCACACUGGGACUGAGACACGGCCCAGACUCGUACGGGAGGCAGCAGUGGGGAAUAUUGGACAAUGGGCGCAAGCCUGAGCCAGCCAUGCCGCGUGAGUGAUGAAGGCCCUAGGGUUGUAAAGCUCUUUCACCGGUGAAGAUAAUGACGGUAACCGGAGAAGUAGCCCCGGCUAACUUCGUGCCAGCCGCCGCCGUAACAC